UUUUUUUUUUUUUUUUGAGACAGAGUCUUGCUCUGUCGCCCAGGCUGGAGUGCAGUGGCGCUAUCUCGGCUCACUGCAAGCUCCGCCUCCCGGGUUCACGCCACUCUCCUGCCUCAGCCUCCUUAGUAGCUGGGACUACAGGCCCUGGCCACCAUGGUGAAACCCCCAUCUCUACUAAAAAAAAUUAAAAAUUAGCUGGGCAUGGUGGUGGGCGCCUGUAAUCCCAGCUACUUGGGAGGCUGAGGCAGGAGAAUUACCUGAACCCAGGAGGUGGAGGUUGCAGUGAGCCGAGACUGAGUGAUUGCACUCCAGCCUGGACAUCAGGGUGAGACUCUAUCUCAAAAAAAAAAAAAAUUUUAUUAGCAUUUUUGGGGUGGUAGAAAUGAUUGCAUAAGGCAGCCUGCCUCCCUUUCUGCAGAUAUUUAACCUGGAGUUUGUCCUUGGUCUUUUCUCCUCAAGCUCUACCUACUCCCACUGGCAAUCUCACCCAUUAUGGUGACUUGAACUCCACUAUACACAUGACUCUCAAAUCUAUUUCUUCCUCCCCAACCUGUUUUAAGCUUUUACAUUUACUUUCCACAUACUUGACACGGCCAUCUGAAUAUGACAAAAGCACUUUGAAACAUAUCGAAAAUAAAAAACAUUUCUCCAU
rnacentral:lncRNA from 10 species